rnacentral:tRNA from 1 species
AGGCUCAUAACUCAGUUGGUAGAGUUCCUGUCUUACAACAGGCUGUCAUCGGU